rnacentral:lncRNA from 1 species
UUAUGAAAAUAUGUAGGCUUAUAGAUUAACAUAUAAAUGGGAUAACUCUACAAAUAGAUAAACAGUAUAUCAUGGGCAUAGGCCCAAAAUUUCUUUCCCUUCGAGUUAAACCCAUAACCAUUAUUCAAGCUGUUAAGUGGCAGAAAUAAUUAACAAAUUAAACAUUUGAUCACCAAAACAACACAAGAUCCCAAUUACAGUACUUAACAUUAAAGGCAUUACCCUAAAUCUGAUGUUAAGAAACUAGCUAAGACAAAGGAAUCAGAGUUUCAAUGAGUAGAAGGAUAAUCAGUCGAACUUAGAAUGAAGCUAUUACCUAAACAUUUCAUUUUGUCAAUCACGUGCGUUCAAAUAUAUUUAACCAUAGGACAAAACAUGAUAGAAUAUCAAUCAAUACAAUAGGGCAUCAAGAAACCAAGCACAGUAUCGAAUAUAUCUUUCGAGCACAAAUCAGUACUACGGAAAGAAACGAUAAGGGGAAAGAUGGACCUGAAAUGUGCUUUCCUUUAUUGAGAGUUCUAGUAGUUACACCAACAUAAUAGAGUCACGAUUAUAAUCGGGCCUCGAACGGAAUAAAACUCAGUUGGAACCACAAACCUCACCUCAAUCGGCACUGGUGGAAACUCGAACCAACCUCAAACUCAAACGCGGCCAGACUCGAAUCAGAUUCGACUCCUCGACUAAUCUCCAUAGACGAAACUGCUGUCCGAAUUUUUUGUCCAAAUUUUCUUCCCUUUCUCGCUAUCUAUGUGUGUGUGUGCAUGUUUCCUUUACUUUUCUUUUUAGUUGAGAAAAAGAAGACGAAAAAAUCAGAAGGGGAAGGUGGCUUUCCGGCGGGUUUGAGGCGGUGAUGGAGCGGCUACUGACUGGAUUUUGGCUAAAGAGAGAUCUCUUCUUCUGUUUUUUUUUUUUUGUUCUACUCGUAAAGAAAGAAAAGUUCAGGGGGGUUCUUUUUGGUGUUCCGCCGCCCCUCGUUGAAGGAGCUGAAGGGUCUCCUUCCCUUAUUUCUGUUGGGAUUAUGUGGCUGUUGGUUCCAGAAUUGAGAGUUCUCCUUUGUUAGGUCUUUUAGGUCUCCUUCUAAUCAGAAAUGGCUGGGUUAGAAUUGGGUUUUUUAGGUUAUAAUUUGGUUUAUAUUUAAUAGGUGAAAGGAUUGUGACCGUUGGACUAAAAUGGAUCGAUGGCUGGGAUUAAAAUAGUGUUUUUGGGUUGGUCAGCUGGGUUGAUAGGUUAUUUGGACUAAGGGGAAUUGGGUUGGUCCAAAUUGGGUCCUAAUAUUGGGUUCUAAGACACCACAUACACUACUUCCAAAGAAAGAAC